CUGAGGUUUGGAAAGCUGCUGCCAUGUUCCGCCGCGAUUGAAGGAGAUGACCGAUCGUAUUCGUCCGUCUGAAAAAGAUAGUGGACAGCCUUUACCUUUGUCCAGUCUGUUGGUGAGGUAGACUCCUCGCAGCGACGUGACGUUCCGGAAAUCGCUCUUCCUCUGCCCAUCAAACAGGUGGCGCUCCAGGGAUUUGGAGAACAGGAUGCCGCGGUCGUCCGACGUGUACAUGGUUCCAAAUGCAUUGACGUCAGGAGAUCCGGGCUCUGCUGUUUGUUGGAACGUCUGCAUGUGGGGUUCCUUUUUUUCCCUGUGCUUGCGUGAGUCUUCUCCACCCCACCCCAAAAAGCAUCCAUGUAAUUGAAGACUAAAUUGUCCAAUUAUACGAAUGUGAGUGCUUGUUCGUCUUUGGGUCCUGUGAUCAGGGGCGCCGUGAGGCACAAUGGUACACUGGUACUACUGUUUUUUUUUCUACGGUAAAAUUCUGGCACCAGAGCUGAGUUUUUUUAAAUGUAAAAUCUACUUACUUUUAUUUUUACAGUGUUACUGUAUAAUAAAAAACAGUACCAUUGUUAUUUAUAUGGUACAACUUGGCGACUUAGUUGACAGUUUUUUUACCAUAAAGACCAGGUUGU